rnacentral:rRNA from 1 species
CCUUCGGGGGGCAGCAGUGAGGAAUAUUGGUCAAUGGACGAGAGCCUGAACCAGCCAAGUAGCGUGAAGGAUGACUGCCCUAUGGGUUGUAAACUUCUUUUAUAUGGGAAUAAAGUGAUCCACGUGUGUGAUUUUGUAUGUACCUUAUGAAUAAGGAUCGGCUAACUCCGUGCCAGCAGCCGCGGUAAUACGGAGGAUCCGAGCGUUAUCCGGAUUUAUUGGGUUUAAAGGGAGCGUAGGUGGGUUGUUAAGUCAGUUGGGAAAGUGUGCGGCUCAACCGUACAAUUGCAGUUGAAACUGGCAGGCUUGAGUACAGUAGAGGUGGGCGGAAGUCGUGGUGUAGCGGUGAAAUGCUUAGAUAUCACGAAGAACUCCGAUUGCGAAGGCAGUUCACUGGACUGCAACUGACACUGAGGCUCGAAAGUGUGGGUAUCAAACAGGAUUAGAUACCCGUGUAGUC